rnacentral:misc_RNA from 1 species
AGUUUCCCUUGAAAGAGAAAUGGUCCACUCGUACGGCUACAAGUCUGGCACCCGCCACCUCUUCGCCAAGAAGUUCCGCAAGCACGGUGCUCCGUCCGUGUCGACAAUCCUGACGAACAUCAAGGUCGGCGACUACGUGGAUGUCGUCGCGGACUCCGCGGUGCGUGAGGGCAUGCCGCACAAGUACUACCAUGGCCGCACCGGUAUUGUGUGGAACGUGACCCCCCGCGGCGUUGGCGUCAUCAUCAACAAGCCGGUCCGCACGCGCACCCUGCGCAAACGCAUCUGCGUCCGCUUCGAGCACGUCCGCAAGUCUCGCUGCCAGGAGGCAUUCAAGGCGAAGGAGCACCAGUUCCAGGCCUACCUCGCCGCCAAGAAGGCCGGCAAGGCGCUGCCCCCGCUGAAGAAGAGCUCCCGAAUGGGCGGCAUUGUGCGCCCCAAGAACGUUGAGGUGCUCGCCCGCCGCGUGGCCGACUACGAGGCGAUGGUGCCGUACUAAGGCGCAGCACUCACCGCACCCGCGCUGCCUUUUUUAUCCCCUCACCUUUCCGCCUCAGCGUACAGCAAUCUUCCCAUCACCUGCUCUCGGUUCCUUCUCCUUUCAAACGGCCCGUGAUGAUCGGGACAGGACAGGAGCGGAGGGGCUGCUGCCGAUACGGUGGGUGUAGGACGGGAGGAGGCACUUCAAGUCGUUUCUCUCACUUCUACUUUCUCAUUUAUCAGGCCAAAAAGCUAUGCCAAGCCGACACUGACGUGCCGCAUCGAAAGCGGGCAAAAAAAAAAAGGGAGUGGCGACCGCUGCAGGGAUGCCGCAUCGCUGCUUCUCUCUCCUCUGCUGCGUGCUUCGAUGCCGCCUCGGAGGGCAGUUCGCCGCCGCUUCUCUCCCCCCUCUGCUCGCUUUGACUUGUGCCCCUGAUGGACUCGAAGAGAGUGAGGGGCUGGAAAGCGGCGCUGACGAAGAGCGCGAUAGAGUGAAACGACGCGUAGGUGAUGCUCUCCCGCACCACACCGUGUACGUCUUCUCCCUGAGCGCGUCUUCUCUUCAGUCUUUCCUCUGCAUUCAGUUUCGCCUUUGCGCAUGUCGGGCGAAACGAGCGCGAACGUGGGAUAGCACAGGGGACCGCACCGGGUCAAGUUACCAGAGUCCCAAGGUUUGUAUACAAUAAAAGCGCAUACACACCGUACUGGUGCGCAGCUUGUUGCCUCCUGUAUGUGUUGUUUCGCUGCAGCCUCCACCUUCUCCAUCCCAUGCGCACCUGCGCACUCUCUUCCUCGCCUCUCACACGUACCCCAUAUGCGAAACGCAG